GAGUCGAACGAACUUCCGUUAAUUGAUUAUGACGUACUUGUACUGAUUGAGAUUUUAACACGAAGUGAGUGGCGAACGGGUGAGUAACACGUGGGUAACCUGCCCAGAAGUAGGGGAUAACACCUGGAAACAGAUGCUAAUACCGUAUAACAGAGAAAACCGCAUGGUUUUCUUUUAAAAGAUGGCUCUGCUAUCACUUCUGGAUGGACCCGCGGCGUAUUAGCUAGUUGGUGAGGUAAAGGCUCACCAAGGCAGUGAUACGUAGCCGACCUGAGAGGGUAAUCGGCCACAUUGGGACUGAGACACGGCCCAGACUCCUACGGGAGGCAGCAGUAGGGAAUCUUCCACAAUGGACGCAAGUCUGAUGGAGCAACGCCGCGUGAGUGAAGAAGGGUUUCGGCUCGUAAAGCUCUGUUGUUAAAGAAGAACGUGGGUAAGAGUAACUGUUUACCCAGUGACGGUAUUUAACCAGAAAGCCACGGCUAACUACGUGCCAGCAGCCGCGGUAAUACGUAGGUGGCAAGCGUUAUCCGGAUUUAUUGGGCGUAAAGCGAGCGCAGGCGGUCUUUUAAGUCUAAUGUGAAAGCCUUCGGCUCAACCGAAGAAGUGCAUUGGAAACUGGGAGACUUGAGUGCAGAAGAGGACAGUGGAACUCUAUGUGUAGCGGUGAAAUGCGUAGAUAUAUGGAAGAACACCAGUGGCGAAGGCGGCUGUCUGGUCUGCAACUGACGCUGAGGCUCGAAAGCAUGGGUAGCGAACAGGAUUAGAUACCCUGGUAGUCCAUGCCGUAAACGAUGAUUACUAAGUGUUGGAGGGUUUCCGCCCUUUCAGUGCUGCAGCUAACGCAUUAAGUAAUCCGCCUGGGGAGUACGACGCAAGGUGAAACUCAAAGAUUGACGGGG
rnacentral:rRNA from 1 species